GUCAACACAUGUGUGCUCCUAUAAAACCAGCUCUCACUACUGUGGCUCCUAGUCUGUUUCUGCUGCACCGGAUAACAACUGCCCCAAGAUGAACAAGCUGUUGGUCAUCACUGUGCUCGCUGCCCUGCUGGCUAUCAAUGCGGAGGGCUUCCGUGUGUAUAGGCAGGUGGAGGAGGAGGCGGAGCAGCCGGGCACUUUCACAAAGAUGACCAAUGCCUUCAGAUCCUACUACGAGAACGCAAUCAACACAGCCAGCGGGUAUCUGGACAGCGUCAAGGGCCUCAAGCAGGAGGAGAAAGCAAAGAACCUCUAUGAAGAGACCACCAAAGUGAUGAGCACAUACACUGGAAUCGUACAGGAUCAGCUCUACCACAUCCUCUACCAGCAGCAGUAAAAACUCAACUCAACAAAGACAAGCAGGAGAUGCCACUUAGGCCAAUUUACAGGCAAAGAAGUAGCAUCUUCAUGGUGGCAAACCUCAAACCUGAAAAGUUACGCAGUGUACCUUUCAGAAAACAGCCAGUUCUGUUUCCAUUAUUGUCAUGAUCUGAUCUGACCAGUGUUUCUGUCAGUGAAUUGAAUGUUUGUCAUAUCUUGAAUAAAAUAUUUAUACGC